UUGAUUCUUGUGGAUGGAUUGUGACUCCCUAAAGGUUGCAAAGAGAGAAAGAGUUGAAUUAUCCUGCUACUUACCAAGAGGAGAAAAACAGCAUAAGAGCACUGGUUAAUGGGUGUGCUUUGGAUUCACACUGGAUCCUGGGAGCAGAAUUGUUCCCUGUGGAUGUACAAAUAUCAUGGUAACUCCCCUCAGGACCAGGGUGUGGCAAUUCAGUGCAGCAU